rnacentral:lncRNA from 10 species
GGAAGUGGAGGUGGCAGUGAGCCAAGAUCAUGCCACUGCACACCAGCCUGGGUGACAGUGAGACUUUGUCUCAAUUGAAAAAAAAAAAAAAGAUAUGAAAAGCUCCCACUUGGCUCUGUUAGGAUGCUCCAUCUUGGAACCCAACCACCAUGCCAUAAGGAAGCUCAAGCAGCCCGUGGAGGGGGCCCCCAUAGAGAAGAAAUGGGAUCCCUGCCCACAGCCCUGGCUGAGUUCCCACCUGACAGCAAAUACCAAAUUGCCAGCCAUGUGACUGAGCCAUCCACAAAGUGGGUCUUCCAGAAUCUUGAUAACAUUGUACUCAGUGACAGAAGCCAGACACAAUAGGCCACGUAGUGUAUAUUCCAUUUGAAGUGUCUAGAACAGACAGAUCUAUAAAGACAGAAGAUAGAUGAGUGUUUCCAGGGACUAGGGGAAGAGGGAAUAGAAGAGACUGCUAAUGGUAUAUAUUCUGUUGUUGUUGUUCUUGUCAUUGUUGUUUAGAAACAGGGUCUCAUUCUGUCACCCAGGCUGGAGUGCAAUGGUGCGAUCAUAGCUCACUGCAGCCUGGAACUCUUGGGCUCAAUUGAUCCCCCUGUCUCAGCCUCCCGAGUAGCUGGGACCACAGGUGUGCGCCACCACAUCCAGAUAAGUAUAGGAUUUCUUUUUAGGGAAAAGGAAAUAUCGUGGAAUUAGAUAGCAAUAGUUGUACAAUCCUGUGAAUAUACUAAAAAGCAUUGAAUUGUAUGGUUUCACAUGGUGAAAUUUAUGGCAUGUAAAUUAUAUCUCAGAGACAACCAAAAAAAAGUGGGUCCUCCAGCCCCUGUCAAGCUGCCCCAUGUUGAGCAUGGCAUGUGGAACACAGACUUGCUGUCCAGGCCACAUCCUGCCCAAAUUGCAGAUUUGGGGGUGAAAUCAAUGAUUGUUGUUGUUUUAAGCCACUAAGUUUUAGGACAGUGUGUUGCAUAGAAACUCGUGCUGUCCAACCUGGCUAACUUUGUGAAACCUCAUCUCUACUAAAAACACAAAAAUUAGCCAGGUGUGGUGGCACACGCCUGUAAUCCCAGCUGCUUGGGAGGCCGAGGCAUGAGAAUCGCUUGAACCUGGGAGGCAGAAGUUGCAGUGAGCCGAGAUGGUUCCACUGCACUCCACUAAAAAUACAAAAAUUAGCCAGGUGUGUUGGCACAAGCCUGUAACCCCAGCUACUUGGGAGGCUGAGGCAUGAGAAUUGCUUGAACCUGGGAGGUGGAAGUUGCAGUGAGAUGAGACGGUGCCACUGCACUCCAACCUGGGCAACAGAGCAAGACGCCAUCUCAAAAAAAAAAAAGAAAAAGAAAAAAAGAAAAGAAAAGAAAAAAGAAAAAGAAAGAAAGAAACACAUGCUGAUAUGGAAGCCUUCCAUAACCACCAACCUAGGCUAGGUUAUGGCCCCUGACUGUCUCAGAAUCUCUGCAUUUUUCAUUAUAGUAUUUAUCUGAGUUUGUAAUUAAAUAUUUGAUGAAUUGCUGCCCUUUCUCUUGGCCAGUGAGCUCUAUGUGAGUAGAGACCGUGUUUACUUUUUUGAGACAAAGUCUUGCUCUGUUGCACAGGCUAGAGUGCAGUGGUGUGAUCUCAGCUCACUGCAACCUCCACUUCCUGGGUUCAAGCGAUUCUCCUGCCUCAGCCUCCCAAGUUGCUAGGAUUACAGGCAUGUGCCACCACCAUGCCCAGAUAAUUUUUGUAUUGUUACUAGAGACGGGUUUUGUCAUGUUGGCCAGGCUGGUCUCGAACUCCUGACCUCAAGCGAUCCACCCACCUUUACCUCCGAAAGUGCUGAGAUUACAGGCAUGAGCCACCUCACCCAGCCAGGAUCCUGUUUAUUAUAUUUACUCUAGUAUCCUUAGUGCCUGGUACAUAGUAGAUGCUCAAUAAUAUCUUUCGAAUGAAUGAAUUCAUGAAUGAAAGGUUAAAAUGCAAAGAGAUUUAGGGUCCAAGUGGAGGGUUCCUAGGGUCUUCCUAGUUGAGUAGGAGACAGAGUGACCAAAGAGCAGGUGGAAGAUGGAGGUGAGGUAGAGGAUUUGCGGAGAAUGGAGAACAUCUGGGAAGGGGAGAGGAAGGAUGAGGAAUUUGACAAGAGAAAACUGGAGCAUAAAUAUGUUCUUACACACCUAAUCCAGGCCAUCUGGUGUCGAGGCGACAAGAAUGGAGACCAUGGAGGAGUGGAGUGGACUGGGCUGUGACCUGCCAAGGGGGGAAUGGCCACACAGGUACCCAGGAUUCACCAUCCAGUUCAGUGUAACAACAGAGCUUGCGCAGAUAACCAGGAUGCUGCAGUGGGGCUCUAGGUGGAAAAUCAAAGCUUCAAGGAGAUCAGGGACAUGUGUACCUUUCACCCCCCAAGAUACAUUUGAGAAGAAGAAUCGAAUUAGCCAGGAAAGCUUUAGGAAGAAAUGACAUUUAAACAGACCUGGAGACCAGGCACGGUGGCUCAUGCCUGUAAUCCCAGCACUUUGGGAGGCUGAGGCAAGUGGAUCGCUUGAGCCCAGGAGUUUGAGACCAGCCUGGCCAACAUGGUGAAACCGCAUCUCUACUAAAAAUACGAAAAAUUAGCCAGGUGCAGUGGCGCACACCUGUAGUCCCAGCUACUCGGGAGGCUGAGGCAGGAGAAUGGCGUGAACCUGGGAGGCGGGGCUUGCGGUGAGCCGAGAUCGCACCACUGCACUCCAGCCUGGGCAACAGAACGAGACUCCGUCUCAACAACAACAACAACGACAACAAAAAGGCAUGAUCACAUCUGUCUCUCAGCUGUCUUCAGGAUGCCAUGAAACGACACACACACAAUAAGGGCACCAUCAAUGUGAGUUGCUCUUUUUUAUUAUUAUUGGCUAUAGCUGAAAAAAAAAAUAAUGGUUAAUCUGUUAAUAAUAUACCUGUGGCCUAGAAAAAGUAUGAAAAAGAAUUCAAGAGUGGACAAAUGUUUUCUUCAAGUGCCGGGUAAAAUAUUUUAAGUGAGUUCUGUUGCAGCUUCUCAAUUCCUCUGUUGCCGUGUAAAAGCGCCCAUAGACAAUGCAUUAAGAAACAGGCAGGCGGCCAGAUGCGGUGGCUCACGCCUGUAAUUAAUCCCAGCACUUUGGGAGGCUGAGGUGGGCAGAAUGCUUGAAUCUAGGAGUUCAAGACCAGUCUGAGCAACAUGGCGAAACCCUAUCUCUACAAAAAAUACAAAAAAUUAGCUGGGCAUGGUGGCAUGCACAAGUAGUCCCAGCUACUUGGGAGGAUGAGAUGGGAGGAUUGCCUGAGCCAGGGGAGG